UACGUAGGGUGCGAGCGUUGUCCGGAAUUAUUGGGCGUAAAGAGCUCGUAGGCGGUCUGUCGCGUCGAAUGUGAAAACCCGGGGCUCAACUCCGGGCUUGCAUUCGAUACGGGCAGGCUAGAGUUCGGUAGGGGAGUCUGGAAUUCCUGGUGUAGCGGUGAAAUGCGCAGAUAUCAGGAGGAACACCGGUGGCGAAGGCGGGACUCUGGGCCGAUACUGACGCUGAGACGCGAAAGCGUGGGGAGCAAACAGG
rnacentral:rRNA from 1 species